UUUCUUUUGCACAGUCGAUCUAUUUCAUUCGGACUUUUGGAGUAGGUAACUAACUGCUGUAUAACUGCGAAAGUGCUGCGGUAACUGUAAAUGUAAUGCAGAACUUGAAAUGGGAACUUCCUGCGCAAAUCAAUUCUCAGUAUGGCUAUUUGUGCUGCUUCCCUCUUCUACUACAUCACUGUUUGGGAUGGUUUUUUUUUUAAAGAAAGCCACGGCACUAGGACACGAUCCAAGAGUGAACAAUUUCUGAAAAGAAACACGAACGACAAAAGGGCUCAAUAAGAACAAGUGUCACGAAUUUCCGAACGGGACUUACUAUUCUGGCCAGGCGAUAGAUAGAUGUGGAUGUCCUGCCCUGAGGUUACUACUGAAAAUGAACGAAAUGGAAUAAUUACACCGUUGAUGUGGAAUCUAAACACCUUUGAGCGAUUGAUUGGUUUACGAGACACUGAAAUGGAUGGAAUGCGAUGGAUGCGGUAGCACUCGUUAUACAACAAACUGAGUUUUAAACACGGUGUGGGUUAUUGGGUUAGGAAGGAAUCAAUCAAAUUCUGGUUUUAAGAAAAACACGGCACAACAGUUGGUUAAUGAAACUUUUAUUACUUCUCAUGGGGCAGAAUAACUGGAUUUAUAUAAACUUAAAUGGUAAAUGUUUCGUUGGCUUGUAUUACUAAUCUGGUAAUUAAAAAUCUAACUGAUUAUAAAUAAUUUUCAUGAUGUGAUAUUUUUGUGAAUUUCGCGAAUACUUAGGAGAUUUUUAUAACUUAAUAGUUGUAUAAAUAAGACGAUAAGCAAAUUGAUGGUGAAGUUUCAUAAAAACUUCAAGUAGUAUUUGUAAAAUGCAAAAUUUGUGGGGAAAAAGCAGGGCCGAAAUGCACAAUUUGUGGGACCAGCAGUUUUGAAUUACAUUUGAUGAGCCCCUGUUUGCCUAUUCAUAUGGGCAAAAAUAGGUAAGUACCAUCAGUGCACCAGUAUCCGUUCAUGCCCCUAUUUCCACUCUCUAGUGUAAACAUUGAUUUUUCGAGUCAAAAACCAACAUUUUUCCCACUGAUGUAUUCUAGCAAUAUUAAAAACUUUUAAAUGAAGUCAACUGACAUUAUUUUUGUUUGAUACAAUAAUUCUUUAAAUUGAAAACACAAGACCUCGUGAGCGGUUAUUGGGCCACUAGGUAUGUUUGUGUGUUCCAAUAAUCGCUCAUGCAAAAAAUUGAAUAAAAUGUUAAAUAAAUGACGAAUUUAGUAUAAAGCCUUCUUUAUUGCAGUAGUAGCUAUGAUUUGACCACAAAAAAUAUGAGGAUAAGUAACGAAAUUUGAAAUAAUGCAUUUUUAGUAAGUUCAUCACGAAAUCUGUUUACCGUGAGCGGAAAUAGGAACACUUACAUGCAGUAACAAAUGCAAUUAAAUAAUUUUUAUGAUAUUUUUUCAAAUUCUAUUUCUUUUGCCGCUGAAUAUCUAUACUUGGAGCUACAUUGUGACAUAAAAAUAGUAUUGAUCGACACAAUAGUUAUUUUAUAAUAAACAUUUGAACACAUAACUUCCCUUAAAUGAGCGGAAUCUGGUGCACUGAUGAUACCUAUCUUAGCUGAAAAGGUGUCAAGUCGGCUUUGUUGAUAACUCAAAGAAGUCUCAUUCCUCCCGGAAUAGGGUCCUAAAGCCCUGUCCCAAUUUUAGUGCCAAACGCUUAAGUUUAGGCCAAGAACCCAUGUUUACUCAAUUUUUUAAUGUUUUCCGGUAGUUUAAGUACAAAAAACAUUUUCUAUGUUUAUUUUAGAUAUUGUCACACCCCUUAGCUUUAACUCAAAUUUUGGGUGUACAGUCAUCUCUCCCUUACUCGAUAUUGAAGGGACCAUCGAGUUAGGGAGGUAUCGAGUUACAGAACACAAAAGCAGUGCAAGUGCGUUCCAAGGGACCAUCGAGUUAGCCAUGGAAUCCAACUUUUACUAUGGUUCUCUAACUCGAUAUCGAGAUACGAGAUAUCGAGUAAGGGAGAGUUAACUGUAUUUUGUUUUCCGUGUCCCUUCCGAAAUGUCAGAUAGGAACAACCCCGGUGUUAAAACUAAAACCCCUGUGGUGUUCUUGUCGACUAAGCGAACGUCAAACAUGAUCUUAAGUGUCAAGGUUCAUUUAUGGACCCAAUUUUUAAAUUAAAGUUUAAACAUGAUAUAGCCGUUAUUUGGGCGGGAAAAAUUGUUAAAGUAGUUGCAGUAAGGUGCUCUUUCGUGUUAUUGAAUAAAAACAAGAUUUCAUUAAAAAUUUUAGGACCCAAUUUAUUCAGUGAUUCUUCGAAAAUUUGCUCCAAGAUUUUUAUUUAAGAUUUCGUCAAGAAUUCCUCUGAAGAUACCUACCGGAAAUACAUCAAAGUACACUUCAGCAGUUCCCGAAAAAUUUCUCAAGGAAGUCUUCAAUUAUAUCAUUGACUCAUAAUCUUCUAAAAAUAAACCUGUAUGAGGACUACUUCAAGAAUUCAAUCAGUAAUUCCCUAUUGAUAUCUAACCGUAACGAUGAACUCGCAGCUAUUUAUCAAGACCAUACUGAGAAUCAUGGUUCGAAUACCGCCGGUUCAGUACAUAUUGAGACAGCGAAAGCUAGGCCUCACGAUCCUUUUGGUUUAGAGUUUUUAGCAAGAGGUGUCAGAAAAGUUACACAGGGAUAACUGGCUUGUGGCCGCCAAGCGUUCAUAGUGACGUGGCUUUUUAAUCCUUCGAUGUCGGCUCUUCCUAUCAUUGUGAAGCAAAAUUCACAAAGCGUAGGAUUGUUCACUUUUUCAAGGUAACGUGAGCUGGGUGGGUUUAGACCAUCGUGAGACAGGUUAAUUUUACCCUACUGGUGUGCGAACGAAACAUAACGCUAUCUUAACGGAAAUGCUGCUUCUAGUUAAGGAAAAUUUCUCGACUUCCCGCAAUUUUCCAAUGAAGCUUUCAAUGAUAUAGGUGUAAAGAAGUAAUUAUUGUUAAAAAUUCUGUAAAUUUUCUAAAGGAACUCCUUCAAAAUACCUGAUGAACUUUUGCAAGGAUACCUGAGAAAAAAAAUCGUUGAGGAUGUCUCGAUACAUUUUCUUCAAACAAUUGCUGGAAAAAUAUUGUACAAAUUGCC
rnacentral:rRNA from 1 species